UGGGGAAUAUUGCACAAUGGGCGAAAGCCUGAUGCAGCAACGCCGCGUGAGUGAUGAAGGUCUUCGGAUUGUAAAGCUCUGUCUUUUGGGACGAUAAUGACGGUACCAAAGGAGGAAGCCACGGCUAACUACGUGCCAGCAGCCGCGGUAAUACGUAGGUGGCGAGCGUUGUCCGGAUUUACUGGGCGUAAAGGGUGCGUAGGCGGAUGUUUAAGUGAGAUGUGAAAUACCCGGGCUUAACUUGGGUGCUGCAUUUCAAACUGGAUAUCUAGAGUGCAGGAGAGGAGAAUGGAAUUCCUAGUGUAGCGGUGAAAUGCGUAGAGAUUAGGAAGAACACCAGUGGCGAAGGCGAUUCUCUGGACUGUAACUGACGCUGAGGCACGAAAGGCGUGGGUAGCAAACAGGAUUAGAUACCCUG
rnacentral:rRNA from 1 species